rnacentral:lncRNA from 1 species
CAGACCAUUCUAGACUAUAAGGAUUAUAAUAAUAUCACUCGUUUAUUCCAUCUUGCUUGUAAAGCUGAACGUGAAGUGCAGGAUCGACAGGCAUUGGCGCGCACUAACUUUUCUGCAGGUCGACCUUCAUCAUGGACACCACGUGCAUCAUCUACUUCCACUGCACCAUCACCUCCUUCAGGUGCCACCUCCAACCGUGGUACACGAAAGCAGGCACAACCACCACUAUCUGCCAAGAGCACACCUGCCGGACCUGCACAGAGCUCUUCUUCUUCCAUGGCGUCAACAGGGCACACCAGUGAUAUUAUUUGUCGUUGUUGUAAGGGAAGAGGACAUUUUGCGAGAGAAUGCAAAUCUCAGCGUGUGAUGAUUGCUACUGAGGAUGGUGGGUAUGAGUCCGCUAGUGACUAUGAUGAGGAGACUUUGGCUCUUAUUACACAUGAGGAACACGAUGGAGAUGAUUCUGAUCAUGAGACACAAUACAUGGCUGCUGAAGAUGCUGACAGGUAUGAAUGUUUAGUUGCUCAACGUGUUUUGAGUGUGCAGGUUACACAAGCUGAGCAAAAUCAGAGGCAUAAUUUGUUCCAUACAAAGGGAGUUGAGAAGGAACGUUCUAUUCGCGUCAUCAUAGAUGGAGGGAGCUGCAACAACUUGGCUAGCAUGGAGAUGGUGGAGAAGCUAUCUCUCACCACAAGACCACAUCCACAUCCUUACUACAUCCAAUGGUUCAACAACAGCGGCAAGGUUAAGGUAACACGUACUGUUCGUGUGCAUUUUAGUAUCUCUACAUAUGCUGAUUAUGUUGAUUGUGAGGUGGUACCUAUGCAAGCAUGUUCCUUAUUACUUGGUAGACCAUGGCAAUUUGAUAAAAAUUCUGUACACCAUGGUAGAAACAAUCAGUAUACUCUUGUUCAUAAGGAUAAAAAUAUUACUUUGCUUUUUAUGACUCCUGAUUCCAUUUUGAAAGAUGAUAUUAAUAGAGCUAAUAAAGCAAAACAGGAGAAAAAUAAGAGUGAAAAUCAGAUUGUGGCAAAAGAAUUUGAGCAACAAAUGAAGCCUAAUAGUAAACCAUCUAGUGUUGUUUCUAAAAUUAAAUUGAAAAGUGCAUGUUUACUUGCCACUAAAUCUGAUAUUGACGAGCUAGAUUUCAGCAAUUCUGUUUGCUAUGCUUUUGUGUGCAAAGAGGCAUUAUUUUCAUUCGAGGACGUGCCUUCCUCUUUCCCUCCUGCUGUCACUUACAUUUUGCAGGAGUUCGCUGAUGUCUUUCCACAAGACGUGCCACCGGGAUUACCUCCCAUUCGAGGGAUUGAACAUCAGAUUGACUUAAUUCCCGGUGCAUCAUUACCCAACCGUGCACCAUACCGUACCAAUCCAGAGGAGACGAAGGAGAUUAUGCGUCAAGUACAGGAGCUGCUCGACAAAGGUUAUAUACGCGAAUCCCUUAGUCCUUGUGCUGUUCCUAUUAUUCUAGUGCCGAAAAAGGAUGGUACAUCACGUAUGUGUGUUGAUUGUAGAGGCAUUAAUAAUAUUACUAUUCGUUAUCGUCAUCCUAUUCCUAGGCUAGAUGAUAUGCUUGAUGAAUUGAGUGGCUCUACAAAAUUCUCCAAAGUUGAUUUGCGUAGUGGAUACCAUCAAAUGCGUAUGAAAUUGGGAGAUGAAUGGAAAUCAUCAUUUAAAACUAAGUUUGGAUUAUAUGAGUGGUUAGUCAUGCCUUUUGGGUUAACUAAUGCACCUAGUACUUUCAUGAGAUUAAUGAACGAAGUUUUACGUGCUUUCAUUGGAUGAUUUGUGGUAGUUUACUUUGAUGACAUAUUGAUUUAUAGCAGAUCUUUGGAGGAACAUUUGGAACAUUUACGUGCUGUUUUUAUUGCUCUAUGUGAUGCACGUUUGUUUGCUAACCUUGGGAAGUGCACCUUUUGCACCGACCGAGUAUCUUUUCUUGGCUAUGUUGUUACUCCACAGGGAAUUGAAGUUGACAAAGCCAAGAUUGAAGCUAUUGAGAGUUGGCCGCAGCCCAAAACGGUCACACAAGUGAGGAGUUUUCUUGGCCUCGCUGGAUUCUAUAGGCGUUUUGUGAGAGAUUUCAGCACCAUUGCUGCACCUCUCAACGAGCUUACAAACAAGGAUGUGCCUUUUGUUUGGGGUACCACACAGGAAGAAGCCUUCACAGUAUUGAAAGAUAAGUUGACACAUGCUCCUUUACUCCAACUUCCUGAUUUUAAUAAGCCUUUUGAGCUUGAAUGUGAUGCUAGUGGAAUUGGAUUAGGAGGUGUGUUAUUACAAGAUGGCAAACCUGUUGCAUACUUUUCUGAAAAAUUGAGUGGGCCUAGUCUGAAUUAUUCUACUUAUGAUAAAGAAUUAUAUGCUCUUGUUUGGACUUUAGAAACAUGGCAACAUUAUUUAUGGCCCAAAGAAUUUUUUAUACAUUCUGAUCAUGAAUCUUUGAAACAUAUUAAAAGUCAAGCUAAACUGAAUCAUAGACAUGCUAAAUAGGUUGAAUUCGUUGAGAAUUUCCCUUAUGUCAUUAAACACAAGAAGGGUAAAGAAAAUUUUAUUGCUGAUGCAUUGUCUCGUCGCUAUACUGUGCUUUCACAACUUGACUUCAAAAUAUUUGGUUUGGAGACCAUCAAAGAUCAAUAUAUGCAUGAUGCUGAUUUUAAAGAUGUAUUGCAGAAUUGUAAAGAAGGAAGAACGUGGAACAAGUUCGUCGUUAAUGAUGGAUUUGUGUUCCGUGCUAACAAGCUAUGCAUUCCAGCUAGCUCUGUUCGUCUUUUGUUGUUGCAGGAGGCGCAUGGAGGAGGACUAAUGGGACACUUUGGCGUGAAGAAGACGGAGGAUGUACUUGCUACACAUUUCUUUUGGCCAAAGAUGAGACGGGAUGUUGAGUGUUUUAUUGCUCGCUGCACUACAUGUCAAAAAGCUAAGUCACGACUCAAUCCUCAUGGUUUAUAUAUGCCUUUGCCUGUACCUAGUGUUCCUUGGGAGGAUAUAUCUAUGGACUUUGUUUUAGGGUUACCUAGAACAAAGAAGGGGAUGGAUAGCAUAUUUGUCGUCAUGGAUAGAUUCUUGAAAAUGGCACACUUUAUACCAUGUCAUAAAAGCGAUGAUGUUGUUAAUGUUGCUGAUUUGUUCUUUCGUGAAAUUAUUCGCUUGCAUGGUGUGCCAAAUACUAUUGUUUCUGAUCGUGAUACUAAAUUUCUUAGCCACUUUUGGAGAUGUUUAUGGGAUAAGUUGGGGACUAAACUUAUUUUUAGUACUACUUGUCACCCCCAAACUGAUGGACAAACUGAAGUAGUCAAUAGAACAUUGUCUACUAUGCUUAGGGCUGUUUUGAAGAAUAAUAAGAAAAUGUGGGAGGAAUGCUUGCCUCAUAUUGAAUUUGCUUAUAAUCGUUCAUUGCAUUCUACUACUAAGAUGUGCCCUUUUGAAGUUGUGUAUGGUUUCCUACCUCGUGCACCUAUUGAUUUGUUGCCUCUUCCAUCUUCAGAGAAGGUUAAUUUUGAUGCUAAACAACAUGCUGAAUUGAUUUUAAAAAUGCAUGAGUUAACUAAGGAAAACAUUGAGCGUAUGAAUGCUAAAUAUAAACUUGGUGGAGAUAAAGGUAGAAAACAUGUUGUGUUUGCACCUGGAGAUCUUGUUUGGUUACAUUUGCGUAAGGAUAGAUUUCCUGAUUUGCGCAAAUCAAAGCUAAUGCCACGUGCUGAUGGUCCCUUUAAGGUGUUGGAGAAAAUAAAUGAUAAUGCAUAUAAACUUGAGCUGCCUGCAGAUUUUGGGGUUAGUCCCACUUUUAACAUUGCAGAUUUGAAGCCUUAUUUGGGUGAGGAAGAUGAACUUCCGUCGAGGACGACUUCAUUUCAAGAAGGGGAGGAUGAUGAGGACAUCAAUACCAUUGUUACACCCACAACCCCUGCUGUUAUACAUACUGGACCAAUUACUAGAACUCGCGCACGCCAACUAAAUUACCAGGUACUUUUGUUUCUUGGUAAUGAUUCUAAUGUUCAUGAGAAUAUGAUGCUGCCUAAAUUGGAUACAUUUGUUUUGCUUACAAAUGAAGGGCCUAGGUUGGAGAAGGAUGAACAUUGGAGCAAGAACAAGCAUGGAGAUGAUGGCAUGCAGAAGGGGAACAAGAACGGAGUUACAAGUGAUGAUUUCAGGACUUUGAAGCCACCAUAAUGAGUACAUGAAGCCUUGGACGAAAUAUACAAGAUGCCACUUCAUAAACUUCGUCCAGAGGCUAUUCUAGGUGCUGCGUCACCUUAUUAUUGGGCCAGGCCCAUGUAAUUUCGAAAUACAUAAGUAUAGGCUGUUUUUAGAGUCCGUAUGUGUGGGGAAACAAGAGAUAGGGUUGGUUUCGGACCCCUUCCCCAAGGGCCACGAAAUUCCCCCCCCCCUCUUUCUCCAUAUAUACAGCCCUUAGGGCACCGUUUAGACUUUGGGUUUUGCUUAGAUUAAAAGUUCGCCAUAGCUGCAACUUCGCGCACUUCCUUUGUGUUCAACGACCAGACCAACGCGUCACAGAACCCCACCUUGAUCAAUAAAGCUUUCAUCUUAUAUUCGCAAUAUCCAGAUUGCAAUCUCAGUUUCUUGCUUGUUCUUCAGUUGCUCACAGGAAACAAACCCUCGUGGUCAAGUUGAUCGUGCUCUGGCGUGGUCAAUAACCUCUCAGAGUUGGUUUAGCGAUUGCUAAGGCGCGACGUCCUCGCACGUUCGUAGUCGGAUCGUCAAAGUCGAUUUCCACCAAAGCGAUAUCCAUCAUCUCAUCGAAAGAUGGGACACCUUUGCCUCUAUCAGUAUCCCCCCUCUCACUUACCCCUUCGUGGGCUAACACUAUAUAUAGACCCCCACCUCCUCCUAGUUAGGGUUAGCAAAGGAUUAGCUCAUAUUUUGUGUGAGAGCCUUGAUCAUCCUCUUGGUUACUUCUCCUCGGAGCUCAGGACCUCUACGGAGAAGAUCCCCCAAGCGGAUUCAAGACCCCUUCAAGGGAAGACCAUCUAGACCUCCUCACGGAGAAGAACCCGGUUACCUCUUGUAUCGUCCUUUGUUGACUUUGGAUCGUGUAUCUUACCUUUGUGUUCAUCGAUCUAGCACAUGUGUGAUCUAUUCUUGUUGGUUGAGUGAUUUCUCUCAUGUUCCCCUUGUGUUUCCUCGUGUUUCCCCUCGUGUUCAUCACGUUCUUCGUAGUGAUCCGCUCCUUUCGUGAAAGAUCGGCCAUCUAGGGUUCCACCCUACAUCAAUUAGACUAUCUUCAAGCCCCCAUCUCCUUGGGAUUUGGGAUGAACUUUGCCAUUGUAUCUUUCCUUUGAUUGUGUUUGUGACUCGUGGAUCUUGUGUUGGUACUCUAGUGGAUGUGUAAUCGGGAAUUGUUGGAGUGAUUUCCUCUUUGUGUUCUUGUUGUGUUCUUGUGGUUUCUCUCCUUUUCCCCCUCCAAGUGUGAGAAGAUCCCUCCUAGGGUUCUACCCUACAUCAUCUUGGUAUCAUGAGCCACGUUGAUUCACAUCCUUGAGUCCCUACCUUCCACUUUCUAGCUUGAUUUCGUUGUUUUUCGUCCUAAUCCGAAAACCCCCACCAAAAAAUAGCCCCAAAAUUUUUCUUGCAAUUUGUUUGAUCUUGUGAGAUUUGGUUGUUUUGAUCCACGAAUUUGGAGUUUGGCAAGUGGAUCUAGCCCCCCCCACCACCACCAUCUUCCCCACCCUCUAAAUCCUUGAAUUUGACCAAAAACUUGGAAAUGCCCACGGAUCCAGAGCAGUUCAUCCGCCCUCGGAGGACCCCGUGCACACGGGACCCCGUGCGCACGGGCUAUCGAGGAACUUCGGCCAUUUUUCUGUUUUUCCCCAUUUCCUUCCCCACCACCUCUUGUGUUCUUCCGCACUAUUUCUCGUGGUUGUUUGAGUUUCGGACCGUGAAUUCUCUUGUGUCCUAAGGUGUUUUGGCUACUUAGGCGCAUUUGGGACAUCAUCGCCACUCGAUCAUCAACUCGGACGGUAACCUCGACGACUCUCACCCUUGCUUUUGCAUUGAUAACUCGAGCCAUUUCGCGUAGCUUACCCAUCGAGACUAGCUUGUUGAGUAUUGCGGGGCCACGCCUUAGUGCACCAUUUAGUGUUCCGUCCAUCCCGUGCAUUUACUACUUGUUACCUCGUUGUGUGGCUCGUAUAUCAAGCAUCAUGGCAUAGUAAAAAAAAGAUUUUAAGUAAAAGAGAAGAGAAGCAAAGAGCUUAUAAGCAAUAGCAUCGAGCCUGUUAGCAUACGGGCAUCAUCUUGGUCAUCACAUACAUAAGCAUACUUGGGAUAGUGAGACGAGCAGUUUCUCUAUUAGAUUGGUGCACUAGCGUAUCUCACCCAUUAGUGCAAUCGAGCUAGCAUCUCUCUAGUAUCCGUACGAAAAGAGCUUUUCCCAUGGUUCGACAUCUUAAAGCUCACCCUUGGUUGUGUGGAUCCCAUUUAUCUUCCGUGUGUGUGUUCCUCGUGUUGCCUUUGGAGGUUGAUCUAUUUGUCUUGCUAGGCAUUUGUGUAUCUUCUCAACUUUAUCAACAUCUUGACUAACAUUUGCUUGAAUUAUUUGUGCCUUUCCUAACCGAGCUCCUCCUUAAGCCAUUUACUUGUAGGUGUGAGAAACAAUUCCCGAUACCAAUUCUCCUAUUGUAACAUCACGUGGUAUCGUACUUGUUACAUCCACAAUUUUCGGGAAAGGUAACUUUGGUUUUGUUCUCUCAUUUUCCUACUCACAACCACUUUCAUAUGAUGGAUAGGCCAAGUACCUCUACCAACCCACUCUUCAUUGAGCAAGACGACGACAUGUCAUCAUUCGUCACUAAGAGCCACCUCUUUGGUGCACAACCAGCGCUACAUCAAGAGCAACAAGCAAUGAACGACCGCAUCGACAACCUCGCCACCGACUUGCGACUUUCCGAGCAACGUACACGGGACUACUUCGACAAUAAGCUCGACACGCACAAGCAAGAGAACGAUGCAAUAAUGGACGAGAUCCGCGCUUUGCUGGUCAACCGUCCUCCUUCAACUACUUCCUACUCAAGACGGAGGCACUCAAGGCGAUACUCCGACGACACCUUCUUCGGCUCAAGUACACCGUCUUUGAACACUCUUCGACGAGCCACGCGUCAAGACCGUCAUGCAUCUCGCAACCCGCUACACGUCAAGCAUUCACAAGAGCAAGUCUAUGAGCAAGUUUGUCGGUGUCAAAACCGGCAGAUCUCGGGUAGGGGGUCCCGAACUGUGCGUCUAGGCGGAUGGUAACAGGAGACGAGGGACACAAUGUUUUUACCCAGGUUCGGGCCCUCUUGAUGGAGGUAAAACCCUACGUCCUGCUUGAUUAAUAUUGAUGACGUGGGUUACAAGAGUAGAUCUACCACGAGAUCAAGGAGGCUAAACCCUAGAAGCUAGCCUAUGGUAUGAUUGUUGUUCGUCCUACGGACUAAAGCCAUCCGGUUUAUAUAGACACCGGAGAGGGCUAGGGUUACACAGAGUCGGUUACAAAGGUAGGAGAUCUACAUAUCCGUAUCGCCAAGCUUGCCUUCCACGCCAAGGAAAGUCCCAUCCGGACACGGGACGAAGUCUUCAAUCUUGUAUCUUCAUAGUCUUGGAGUGCGGCCGAUGAUGGUAGUUCGGCUAUCCGGACACCCCCUAGUCCGGGACUCCCUCAGUAGCCCCUGAACCAGGCUUCAAUGACGACGAGUCCGGCGCGCAUAUUGUCUUCGGCAUUGCAAGGCGGGUUCCUCCUCCGAAUAAUUUUUAGAAGAUUGUGAACACCAGGAUAGUGUCCGGCUCUGCAAAAUAAAUUCCACAUACAACCGUAGAGAGAAUAAUAUUACACAAGUUCAAUCUGCUGACGUAUUUUGUGGCGUAACGUCAUACCACUACCAAGCCUUCAAAUUGUUUUGAUUGUUCCAUCUCAACGCGUUUAGCGAGGCGGUUUUCUUGGCACGUCUUGUCGAAGCAGAGAUCGUGUUCCCCUUAUUCCGGGAUUCCCAUCAAUAAGGACGUGGGUAACCCAACCGCGCCAUUGAUUGUGACGCUUGGGAGAUAAGCGAGUUUUACCAGGCCGGUGGGGACGCGUGUUUCUGUCCGCCCAUAUAAGGGGAUAAAGAUCCAACCUUUUUACCUGCGCCUUCUUCCUCCUUGGCUUAUCCAUCUCUGCGAACUCGCGCUCUAGCGCCCAAGCCCGCACAUCUCACCUCAACCUUCUCCAAAUAUGUCCGGAGUGGGAGGCAAGUGGAUGGCCUCCUCCGUUAUGGAGGGGCAUAUCCAGAAGCUGUGCAGCGCCGGAUACUUUUCCAGCGACAUCGCGCAUCGGCUCCCCGACGAGGGAGAGCUCAUCCCCACCCCCAGGCCCCAUGAGAGGGUAGUAUUCCUUCCCCAUUUCCUCCGCGGACUGGGCUUCCCACUUCAUCCCUUUGUCCGGGGGCUCAUGUUCUACUACGGCCUAGAUUUCCAUGAUCUGGCCCCGAAUUUUAUUCUCAACAUCUCGGCAUUUAUCGUCGUGUGCGAGGCCUUCCUCUGCAUCCAGCCCCACUUCGGCUUGUGGCUCAAGACCUUCAGUGUCAAGCCGAAAGUUGUGAAGGGCAGCCAAGCAGAGUGCGGAGGCGCCAUGGUGGGCAGGAUGUCCCACGUUACGUGGCUGGAGGGCACCUUUGUGGAAACCAUCAAGGGGUGGCAAUCGGGGUGGUUCUACAUCACCGAGCCGCGUGAUCCCGAAUGGGCAGCGGCCCCCGAAUUCAGAUCUGGCAUCCCCACACGGCUCACCUCCUGGAAAGAGAGUGGCCGGAUUUGGGACGAUUCGGAGGAGCUGACCGGACUCCAAGCCUGCGUCCAAAAGCUGGUGGACAAGAAGCUCAAGCUUGUCAACGUAGUCCAGGUCAUGCUCAUCCGCCGGAUUCUCCCGUGCCAACGACGGGGCUUCAAUAUGUGGGAGUUCGAUCCGGCGCAGCACCAGACUUUGAAUGGGCUCUUCGACACUACGUAUGAAGAGGUUUGGAAGGUGCUGUUCAAGGGCGCCGAGGCUCCCGCAUCCACAACCGAAGAUCGUGGAUUCAGCUCGCAGCGUCCAGCUGAUGAGGUAAGUGAUAUUGUCCUUUACGGGACGCUUGUUAUUCAUAGUUUGACUCUAUGCGGGAUCUAAACUCCCUUUCCUUUGACAGGACUGGCUGAAGAAGGCCGCACAGGCUAUCUAUCCGGCCCCAUUGCCAGAGGACCCAGCUGACGCCCGCCUAACGGGGCUGCUGGCUCCGGCACCCCACGUGGUGCCGGAGAAGAAGGCCAAGAAGAAGGCCUCGGGGACUCGGAGGAGUUCCCGUUUUCAGGUGCUAUCGGACGAUGAAUCCGAGGCUGACUCCUCCCACCAAGGCGAGGAGAAGAAGAAAGCCUCUCCCCCAGCGGGGGGAGGGAAGAAAAGGAAUGCCUCCCCAACAAGGGAGGCCGAAGGGUCCAAGAGGGGAAAAACUCUUCCCCCGGAUUGUUCCGCCAACGCCAGUGACGACGAUGAGGACUAGCCUCCAAGGGCCAAGCCUCUGGCGAGAUCGUAAGUAUCCGGACUCCCGAAUAACUUCAAGGUUUUCGUUUUCCGCCACAUUAUGUCUUUCUAAUGCCGCAUACAACCCUGCAGUCCGCCUAAGGAUGAUCUCCCCACUUCGUCGAGCGGGUCCUUAGGGGCGUCGGAUAUGGAUUCUCUUCCGAAUUCCUCCACCCCCCGUGAUGCGGACGAUGCCGAGGUGGGAUCCCAGGAAGGGACCCACCAGGAGGAGAGGGCCCCGGAGGUGUCGCAGGACAACCUCCCGGACUUUGCACCGGACUCAGCCCCGGAACCCAUAGUGGCUCCGGAGUCCGGCGGGCGACCCCUUCGGAAGAAGGGCAAGACCGCGACGCCGGCUGCCUCCGUCCAACCGGAGGUGCCGGAUAAUUUGCUGGAGGCGCUCAACGGCACCUCCAUCGAAGAGGAACACCGCACGGUUAUGAAUGCGGUGAUUCAGAAGGUUGAGCUCGCCAAGAGCGGGCUGACCGAAGCCUGCAGCAGCCUUCUAACAGGCUUUGAGGUAAGAAUUUCAAUAUAUGUAAAAUGGUACCGCAUAGACAGUAGCCCCUGAUGCUCGGUUCGGUGUUCGGAAAGAAAAGCCGGACUGAGGAUCUUUAGAAAGAUAAUCGCAGGAGUCAUGAAAAUAUGUCAAUAUGGGAUUGCAGGCUGUGCUGCUGACCUCUGCCGCACUGACUGCGGAGGUCAAAACUUUGAAGGAAAACCUCGAGCGGUCCGAGAACAAGCUCGGCCAUGCCAAGAAGCAGCUCGAGGAAAAAGAAGGUGAGUAAUACCUUAUGAAAAUUGUACCUUACAGAAAAGGAUUUUGGUUGCAAGAAAAAUGACAAGGAUAACUGGGGUAUUGCAAGGGCCACUAACGAGGUGGCGACCCUUAAGGAGGCGGUGGCUGCGGCCGAAUGCAAUGCGGCUGUGGAGCGCACCGAGCGAGAGAAACAGGAGGCGCGGGUGGCGGAGGUACAACAAGAGCUCCAGGAUCUCGUGAGGAAACAUGAGAGCCUGGAGCGUGACUCGAAGACUCGAGAGUCUGAGCUUGCAACGGCUCUUGAGAGUGCCAAAGCCGCUAAGGCCGAAGCCUACAAGGCCCUCCAGGAGAUAGAGGCGGUGAAGAAAAUAGCAGCGGGUAAGGCAUUUUUCAUGCAAAGUAAGCAUGUGAGUGUUAACUACCUGUCGCUUACCCGAAUUCGGAGCUCUCCAGGAUCAUUCGCAGAUCUUCCCUGCAGCGUGUCCGAUGCUGCCACAUUCUACCGGGCCGAGGAGGGGAGCACAACGGAGAAGGUCUUCUAGUCUCAGUAUGCUGAGGUCGGACAUCCGGUGCCCCUUAGCGACCAGCUGAAGCAGCUGGUCGAGCUCCACAAGGCGGCCGAACAGGCCAUGAAGGGCCUCAUAGUUUGGCUGUGGCCUAAGGAGGCUAUGCCUAGGAUCUACUUCGGUCUGGUGCGGCGGCUGGUGGACAUGUGCCCGUGGGAUGAAGUUAUCAAGCACUCCGCCUGUAUUGAGGGUGCGCGUCGGGCCCUUGCCCGCGCAAAGGUGCACUCGGGCAAGAUGGAUGCCCAGAAGCUUGUGACGGACCCCCCACCAGAGGGCAAGGAGCAUCGCACGCCCGAGAUGUAUUAUAGGAGUGUGCUGAAGGGCGCCCGCACUAUUGCGGGUGAGUGCUCCAAAGAUGUAAUAUUUGAGUAGACUCGCAUUUUGUUAUCCUGUGCGCUGAAAACUUGGUUCAUAUGCGCUAAGCAACGCUUGUUAAUUUAAAAUAUUACCUUCUGUGCAGCUGUUUAUCAAAUCUGAGAGAUGGCAAGUCGUCGGCUUCAGCCCCCAUGCCACGAGUGCUGGGGUGUUCGGGAUAAACUCGAGCGCUCUUGUUCCCAUUUUUGGGUCCAUCUAGGGAGGCGCUCAACACAACGAACAAGGCAACCGGACUUAUAAUGCUUGAACACUCUCACUUAGCCAUAGGAUUCUAUAAUUUUAAAUUUCGGCGAAGCCCCUAGUUUUCGGAAGGCCGAAUUUGGGGCGCUAUCCACGCCUUGGCCGGACAGAAUCCGGCUCCUCGCUCGAAGCGGCAUAAGUAUUUAGGGACUCGCAAAGAACCUCUCGAACAACGACCAGCUCUUGCCUCAUCAUGACGGUCAGUUUUAGCUUUCUCCACUGAGGCGUUAACCCAGCUCAACUGGGGCGCAAUCGCAGUGGUUCUCCCAGUGCUACCUUAGCCGAUAAAACGGAACGUAAGGUACCAAAACAUGGGAGCCGGGCAAACCCAACUAUUGACCCAAGAACAUGAUUCGGAGCCGAUGCAUAUAAUGUUAUAAGUUCGGGGUGCCGCACUUGUGAAAGUGUUCGGACUUAUCACACCAUAACGCGGGAAACAUAAGCCCCUGGUGUAUUUAGCCAUACCAAAACGUACGGAUGCAACAUGUCAUAGAUGAACAUAUGUGUAAGAAAGAAAUGCAAUUGGAAGCAAAAAUGUGCUGCAUUGCUUUAUUCAAAUAAAAACUGCUGAAGUGCAGGACGAUACAAGUGGUGCUGUAAGCAAGGGAUGGGACUGUUUAACAUGUCCCCCUCCAGGGGUAGGCUACGGAAUAAUGCAUAAAACAGAUUUAAUGCUCAUAAUGGAGACCACCUGGAUUUUCGUUGUAGCCUUUCUCCUUCCCUGGCUGUUGUAUCGUGGGUUCGGCAUGUCUGCUGCCGGACAGGGCCUCUGGCGAACGGAGUCCUAUAGGUAAAAAAUAAAAGGAAAAGAAAAAGAAACGACACACUUAAGAGCCCCUGGUGUGGUUGAGCCGUAGUUUGGGCUUAUCGUGGUCGAGCCCCUUGCCCCAUGCCCAUGGUAUCUUCAGAGCGUAAUGGAGUACGCGAAGGGUCUGUCUUAAUGUUUUACAGGGGCUGGGGUUAGGGCCGCACUGCUACGCGUGCCCGGAACAUGCCAGGUGGUCGUGUUGUAGGUUACUCCGGGCACGCUUAGCUACGUCCGGCCGCUUGGCAGCCGGACUCGAGAAUUGCCUUAAAAGGCUGCUUUGUACUUCUGCCGCGAGAGCCGCUGUAUGUUCCUCCGUUCGGAGGGAGCGUUCAGUGUUUCCGUUGACCGUGAUGACUCCUCUAGGGCCUGGCAUCUUGAGCUUGAGGUAUGCAUAGUGCGGCACCGCGUUGAACUUUGCGAACGCGGUACGUCCGAGCAAGGCAUGAUAGCCGCUGCAGAACGGGACUAUGUCGAAGAUUAACUCCUCACUUCGGAAGUUAUCCGGGGAUCCGAAGACCACUUCCAAUGUAACUGAGCCUAUACAAUUGGCUUCUACACCUGGUAUGACGCCUUUAAAGGUCGUCUUGGUAGGUUUAAUCCUUGAGGGGUCUAUGCCCAUUUUGCGCACCGUGUCCUGAUAAAGCAGGUUUAGGCUGCUACCACCGUCCAUCAGGACUCUGGUGAGAUGAAAUCCAUUGAUGAUUGGGUCUAGAACCAAUGCGGCGAACCCACCAUGGCGAAUGCUGGUGGGGUGGUCCCUUCGGUCAAAGGUGAUCGGGCAAGAGGACCAUGGAUUGAACUUCGGGGCAACUGGCUCCAUCGCGUAUACAUCCCUGAGUGCACGCUUCCGCUCCCUUUUGGGUAUGUGCGUUGCAUAUAUCAUGUUCACCGUCCGCACCUGUGGGGGGAAACCCUUCUGUCCUCUAUUGUCCGGCGGUCGGGUCUCUUCCUCAUCGUCGCUAUGUAGCCCAUUGUCACUGUUUUUGGCAAUUAACUUGUCUGGCUGCUUGAACACCCAACAGUCCCUAUUGGUGUGGUUAGCUGGCUUUUCGGGGGUGCCAUGUAUCUGGCACAAGCGGUCCAGAAUUCGGUCCAAAUUGGAUGGACCCUGAGUUGUUCUUUUGAAUGGAUUUUUCCGUUGACCGGGUUUAGAGCCUCUAAAUCCGGCAUUGAUUGCCGUAUCCUCACUGUUAUCGCCGUUGAUGCGGCGUUUGUUUUUCUUGCGACACGACCUGCCACUACGGUCCUUGAUAUCCGGACUGCCAAAAUUUUUGUUGAGGUUGUUGCUGCGUGCUAGCCAGCUGUCCUCACCCGCACAGAAGCGGGUCAUGAGUGAUGUAAGGGCUGCCAUGGAUUUCGGCUUUUCCUGUCCCAGGUGCCGGGCAAGCCACUCGUCGCGGAUGUUAUGCUUGAAGGCCGCGAGGGCCUCGGCAUCCGGACAGUCGAUGAUUUGGUUUUUCUUGGUUAAGAACUGUGUCCAGAAUUGUCUGGCCGAUUCGUCUGGCUGCUGAAUUAUGUGGCUUAGGUCAUCUGCAUCUGGUGGUCACACAUACGUGCCUUGGAAGUUAUCGAGGAAUGCGGCUUCCAGGUCCUCCCAACUCCCGAUUGACUCUGCUGGCAAGCUGUUAAGCCAGUGCUGGGAUGGUCCUUUAAGUUUGAGUGGGAGAUAUUUGAUGGCGUGGAGAUCGUCUCCGUGGGCCAUGUGGAUGUGGAGGAGAUAGUCCUUGAUCCAGACCGUGGGGUCUGUUGUGCCAUCAUAAGAUUCAAUAUUGACGGGUUUAAACCCUUCUGGGAUUUGAUGAUCCAUUACCUCAUCUGUGAAGCACAGUGGGUGUCCGGCGCCUCUGUACUGGGCGAUAUCACGACGGAGCUCAAAAGAGCUUUGUCUGUUGUGUUCGGCCCGGCCGGACUUACUGUGUCCGGGGUGACAGUGAUCGUCACGUAUCGUGGGGCGCCCACGUGAUCCAUAGAUCGAUCUUGAUUGUCUUGCCUUAUCCUCCAAUAUGUCGCGCAGGUCCGGAUUGUUCCCAUGUGGCCUUGUGCUUUUCGAGCGAUGCCGAGGUACGGGUCUAGUGAAGGGCCUUGAGGCCUCUCUGUCGCGACCACGGGGUGGUCGAUCAGCUGUAUUGUCUCCUGGUGAAGCGGGAUCAUAUGCCUCCACCUCUAAUCGGGGCAGCAGCUUACGUUUGGGGUAGCUUUUGGAGGGGCGUUCGAGUUCAUGCUCUUCGGCAGCGAGGACUUUGGUCCAUCUGUCGGCUAGCAGAUCUUGAUCAGCUCUAAGCUGCUGCUGCUUUUUCUUGAGGCUGUUUGUUGUGGCCAUAAGCCUGCGUUUGAAACGCUCCUGAUCGACGGGAUCCUCAGGCAUGACGAAUUCGUCGUCGUCGAGGCUUGCCUCGUCUCCGGAGGGAGGCAUAUAGUCCUCUACCUCUUCUUCGGCCGCUCUCUCAUGAGGGCUGGCGUCCCCCUCCUCCUGUGCUGGAUCUUGCUGGAGUGGGUUGUCUUCGGUGCUAUCCGGUGUAUUGUUGUCUCCGGUGCCGGAAUCCUCAUUCUUGCUAUGGCGGGAUUUAGAGCGGCGCCGCUGACGCCGGCGCUUGGUCUGUUUCUUGGAGGGGUCAUCCUCCGCUAUUCCUUCGUCGUUCCCAUCCUUUGGGAUAUCCACCAUGUAUAUGUCAUAUGAAGAGGUGGCUUUCCAGUGCCAGUGGGCGCUGGUUCUUGGUCGUCUCCGGCAUCAUCGUCCAUACCGUCGAUGUCCUCAGAGUCAUAAUCUAGCAUGUCGGUUAGGUCGUCGACAGUGGCUACCAAGUGGGUUGUGGGUGGGCUCUGAAUUUCUUCGUCGUCCGCAUCCCAACCGUCCUGGCCGCAGUCCGGCCAGGCCUCUCCUGAUAACGAGAGGUACUUUAGCGAACUCAAGAUGUCGCCAAAAGGUGAGUGUUGAAAGAUGUCCGCCGCGGUGAACUCCAUGAUCGGCGCCCAAUCGGAUUCGACUGGAGGGGGCGCGGGAGGUCCGGAGUCCGGCACCUCGGAGUCACGAGCUUCAUGGGGGACAAGAUCGGUGUUCGGCUCUAUCACCGUAGAGGUUGCAGCCCCCGAGGUGGUGUCUAGCCAUCCAUCCUUGGUCUGCGCAGCCGGCUCCGAGUCGAAGAUCGGAGCAGGUUCGAGUGCGGCCUCCAGGGUACUGUCCGGCUGCAGAGCUAAAUCAUGCCCAUCGUGAUAGUAUGGCACGCUCGGCUGUGGCUCGAAUCCGUCGAGGAUCAAGUCCCCGCGGAUGUCAGCCGUGAAGUUCAAACUUCCAAAUCUAACCUGACGGCCAGGGGCGUAGCCUUCGAUCUGCUCCAGCUGGCCAAGCGAAUUGGCCCGCAGUGCGAAGCCGCCGAAUAUGAAGAUCUGUCUGGGGAGGAAGGUCUCACCCUGGACUGCAUCGUCGUUGAUGAUCGAAGAAGCCAUCGAGCCUAUCGGUGACGACACAGAGGAACUCUCAAUGAAAGCACCAAUGUUGGUGUCAAAACCGGCGGAUCUCGGGUAGGGGGUCCCGAACUGUGCGUCUAGGCGGAUGGUAACAGGAGACGAGGGACACGAUAUUUUUACCCAGGUUCGGGCCCUCUUGAUGGAGGUAAAACCCUAUGUCCUGCUUGAUUAAUAUUGAUGAUGUGGGUUACAAGAGUAGAUUUACCACGAGAUCAAGGAGGCUAAACCCUAGAAGCUAGCCUAUGGUAUGAUUGUUGUUCGUCCUACGGACUAAAGCCAUCCGGUUUAUAUAGACACCGGAGAGGGCUAGGGUUACACAGAGUCGGUUACAAAGGUAGAAGAUCUACAUAUCCGUAUCGCCAAGCUUGCCUUCCACGCCAAGGAAAGUCCCAUCCGGACACGGGAUGAAGUCUUCAAUCUUGUAUCUUCAUAGUCUUGGAGUCCGGCCGAUGAUGGUAGUUCGGCUAUCCGGACACCCCCUACUCCGGGACUCCCUCAAAGUUCCUCGUCCGCGUUCAAACCAAGACGCUUUUGCUCAAGCUCAAAAAUGACAACGACUACGGCACCACGAGGAAGAACGAGCGCGUCUACACCAAGAAGAAAAAGACACCGAGGCUAAACGUCUUCAACAACAACAACGAGAAGCGCAAGCUCUUGAGGCGCAACGUGCCCUUCAAGAAUCCAGUCGAGCCAUCGCCAACCGCAAUCGCGAAUGGCGCAAUCAAGACGAAGCCCUUCGAGAAGAAAUCCACGAGCGGAACUACCAACGCCGCGUGCAAUGUCAAACUCCUCAAGCUAAUCCACAAGCUCAUAAAGCUCCUCCUCAACCUCAAGUUCAACAAGAGCAAGUGGAUCAUCGACUUCCUCCAUGCCAAGAGCAACAUCUCGAGGAACGAGCAUUUGACGAUCUUCCCCCACGGCAAGAGCGACAUCACAACCGCUACUUCGACGAAGAACUCCGCUACGGCAAGCUAAAGUUCACCAUGCCCAAGUUCAAUGGAAGCAAUGACCCCGAAGAGUACCUCUCAUGGGCAUUGAAGAUUGGCAAAAUCUUCCGGUUGCACAACUACGAUGAAGAGAAGAAGAUCGCUAUGGCAUCACUCGAGUUCCAAGACUACGUUCUCAUUUGGUGGGAACAAGUGAUUGAGCGACGUCGUACAAGAGGCAAACCACCAAUCACAACUUGGACGGCUGAUGAGGACAUCAGUACCAUUGUUACACCCACAGCCCCUACUACAACAUAUACUGGACCAAAUUACUAGAGCUCGCGCACACCAAUUAAAUUAUCAGGUACUUUUGUUUCUUGGUAAUGAUUCUAAUGUUCAUGAGAAUAUGAUGCUGCCUAAAUUGGAUACAUUUGUUUUGCUUACAAAUGAAGGGCCUGGCAUGGAUAAGAGGGAUGAACAUUGGAGCAAGAACAAGCAUGGAGUUGAUGGCAUGUACAAGGGGAACAAGAACAGAGUUACAAGUGAUGAUUUCAGGACUUUGAAGCCACCAUAAUGAGUGCAUGAAGCCUUGGACGAAAUAUACAAGAUGCCACUUCAUAAACUUCGUCCAGAGGCUAUUCUAGGUGCUGCGUCACCUUAUUAUUAGGCCAGGCCCAUGUAAUUUUGAAAUACAUAAGUAUAGGCUGUUUUUAGAGUCCGUAUGUGUGGGGAAACAAGAGAUAGGGUUGGUUUCGGACCGCUUACCCAAGGGCCACGAAAUUCCCCCCCUCUUUCUCCAUAUAUACAGCCCUUAGGGCACCGUUUAGACUUUGGGUUUUGCUUAGAUUAAAAGUUCGCCAUAGCUGCAACUUCGCGCACUUCGUUUGUGUUCAACGACCAGACCAAGGCGUCACAGAACCCCACCUUGAUCAAUAAAGCUUUCAUCUUAUGUUCGCAAUAUCCAGAUUGCAAUCUCAGUUUCUUGCUUGUUCUUCGUUUGCUCGCAGGAAACAGACCCUCGUGGUCAGGUUGAUCGUGCUCUGGCGUGGUGAAUAACCUCUCGGAGUUGGUUUAGCGAUUGCUAAGGCGCGACGUCCUCGCACGUUCGUAGUCGGAUCGUCAAAGUCGAUUUCCACCAAAGCGAUAUCCAUUAUCUCAUCGAAAGACGGGACACCUUUGCCUCUAUCAAGUGUGAUACGGAGCAUCCCACGUUCAUCUCCAUGUACACCUUCAUAGCACAUCAAGCCCCAAGUGGACCUACCGGAGUUAAGGUGAACCCGCUCUUCUUCGAGAAUAUCAUGAAUAUCCAUUGGGACUUGCUUGCUACCUCACCAAAGAGCUCUAUGUGUCCUUAGGUACAAAGACCGACGACCACAAACUGGUGAGGAACACCCCAAAGGAGUAGGAGAAGGACCCCAAGGCCACAAGAAGGAAGAACGAGGGCAUCGAGACCAACUCUGCACCUCCCAGGUGACCCCGUGCCCACGGGCCUCGAAGACCCCGUGCGCACGGGCUACUCAGAGAGUUUGCGCUGGAGCACCCCAUGCGCACGGGCCUGUACCGUGCCCACGGGACCCCCGUGCGCACGGGCCCAACUUACCCCGUGCGCACGGGCCCUACAGGAUGGACGGUUGUGAUUGUUGUUUGGGCCUCCUCUUCCUCCACUUCGCCCCCAUGACUAUAUAUUCCAUACCUAUACCAUUUGUUAGGGUAAGCAAAGUAGUUGAUACACAUUUGUGAGCUUUGCUCCAUGGAUCCACUCCACUAGGAGAUCAAGACCUCCUCUUGGAGUGACCAAACAUCAAGACCUCCUCCUAGGGGAAGGAUCCCAAUCAUAGGAUCAUCAAGCCCUCAUCUCCUUCAUAGGAUUUGGGAUGAACUCUACCAUGUAUCUUAUUUCCCUUUGAUUGUUCAUGUACCUUGUGGAUCGUGUGUGUUUGUUGGUCUAGUGGAUGUGUGAUUGGACUUGUUCUUGAGUGUUCCUCUUGUUUUCCCUCUUGUGUUCAUCUUGUUCUUGGGGAUUCCCCCUCCAAUUCGUGAAAGAUCUCCCCAUAGGGUUCCACCCUACAUCAUCUUGGUAUCAUGAGCCAUGGUUGAUCACGAAAUUGGAGCCCCCCUCUUGUUUUGUUGAUUUUGUCCUAAAUUCGAAAAUUCCCCACCAAAAAUAGCCCCAAUUUUUUUUGUGAUUUUUUGGUUUGGUGAUGUUUUGUUGGAUUUGAUCCAUGGAUUUGCUUGGUUUCAAGUGGAUCUAGCAUUCCCCCAUCUUUUCCCCACGAUACAUCCCCUAAAUCUCCACAAUUUUCCCCAAAAAAUCCCCAAUUUCCGCCACGAAAUCGCGAAAUUUCCGCCCACCCCGUGCCCACGGACCCUAGGCCCCGUGCGCAUGGGCCCCCGAAAAGUCUCUGGACACCCGGUGCCCUCAGGCCUGUACCGUGCGCACGGGACCCCAUGCCCACGGGCUCCUACCCCCGUGCGCACGGCCCCCCCAGGCCAGCCGCGAGCAGUUCACCGUUUUGUCCAUAACUUCCACAUCUGGAGUCCGAUUUUCGCGUUCUUUAGCUCGUUGAGUAGCUAUUGACAUCCCCCAUGCCCCUAGAUAGGUACCAUCACCAUUUGACUCCAUCAAAAUUUUGACAUUUUGGCAUCUUUGACUAGGCCUUCCACCAUAUCAUCCGCAAAACCACCAUAGUCUUCCGCAACCUAACCCGUUUCGCUCCAUAUAGCAUUUGUGGUUGUUUGAGUGGUGACUUGAGUCUCCUAAGGUGUUUCGGCUACUUAGGGACGGUUGCUUCGUCAUCAACCACCACCACCAUUUCCACAUAGCCUUACCCACCAUACACUUCCACCAUCACAACUUAACACAAUUUACGGUGACCUCCAACUCUGACACCGUGUAUAGUCCACCACCAUAUCAUCCACUUCCGCAUUGCCUAGUGCAACACCACCGCUUUCCGCUACCACCAUUUGACAUUUGUCAUUUGAGACUUUGAGUUCGCGGUUUUUCCGUUUCCUAAGGUGUUUCGGCUACUUAGGGACGAGUCUACAUCAUCUUGGUAUCUACAUCAAGAACACCGCCACUCAUCAUCGCAAAGGACGGUAACCUCAAAGACACCAUUGUAUAUUCCCCUUGCAAUUGCAUUGAUAACCCCUAGUCCAUUUUGCGUCACUUGCCUAUCGAGACUAGCCAUUUGAGUAUUGCCAGCAAUGUUACUUGUGCACAUUAGUGAUCCACCCUUCCAUUGCAUACAUACCAUAUCAUAUUGGUAUCAUCAUAUCAUCUCUUGUGUCACAAGAUUGUUCCCGCAUAUACACAAUUGCUAUCUUGGUUUGUGCAUUGUGCAAAUUGGCCAUAAAAAAAAGAAAAAAAAAGAAUAAGCUUUUAAGCAAAAGAAAAGAGAACAAAGAGCUUGUAAGCAAGUGCCAUAGCAUCAUACCACAUUGCAUAUAAGAUUGUCAUAUCUGAUCAUCUUGGAUCAAACAACGGGAACUAUACAUACAUAGCAUACUUGGGAUAGAAAUUUAUCCAUUUUGCAUCUUAUAGGUUGUGCACAAGUGUCGUAUCCGCCUAUUGAGCAAUCAUGCUAGCGUCUCUCUUGAGUUGUGCAACACGAGCGUUUUGGUGGAUUCCACAUUUUGAGCUCACUCCUUGGUUGCACGACCCCAUUUAUCUAUCCGUGUGUGUGUUUCCGUGUACCACAUUUGCUAUUGGUCUACUUGUCUCACUUGCGAAUUUGUGAAUCUUUUCCAACUUUAUUGACUCUUGCUAACAUUUUGCAUUAAAUUUUUGUGCCACUAUCCUCACCAAGCUACUCCAUAAGCUUUACUUGAUAGGUGUGAGUGAACAAGUCCUGUACCAAUUCCACUAUUCUUUCAUCUCACAUUGAGUGAAACGAUAUACAUCCUCAACUUGGGGAAAAGGUAACUUGGUAUUGUUUAUCUCAUUUCCUACUCACCUCUACUCGAGUCUUGUGAUGGAUAGGCAAGGCAUUUCACCUUCGGUCUACAACAACAACAACGAGUUCAAUGCCACGAACAAUAACUCCGACGCCAAGAUGGACAAGCGCAUGGAGGAGAUCAAAGCCCUCAUCAAGUCCUACAAGCGAUCUUCCUCAUCUUCGAGAAGACGCUCAAGAGCACAUGCUUCCGAGCUACCAUCUCCGGCAAGAUCACAUCGGAAUCGACACCAUCAACAACAAGAACGUGAAGGUCAAGAGCUCUACACCAACAACCGCUCAAGGACUUCACCAUCUCCCUUGGCAUCUUCGCCAAGUGACUUCAAGGCAUCUUCACCUACGGACAAAUGGCAUCUUCGCCAACAAGAACCCCAAGACUACGCUCAAGAGAAGCUCCCCAAGCUCAAGUCCACUACUCCCUCGAGCUACUACGACCUCGACACCGACCACAAGAUUCCUUUCGAUGGGACUCAAGAACCCGAGGAGUACCUCGAGUGGGAGCGUUUGAUGGACGACUACCUCAAGCUACAUCAAGUCCCUUCCGAAGAUCAAGUGAAGUGCGCCACAAGAAACUUCCACGACUACGCCUCGGCAUGGUGGCUUCACACACCUUCGGAGAGCUAUGAGAUGAGUUGGCCCAAGAUGAAGAGAGCUUUGCGGCGAGAGUUCGUGCCUCCAACCUACACGGAACAACUUCGACGCCAAUUGGAUAACACCAUCCAAGGAUCCAAGUCCAUCGACGCGUACUUCAAGGAGAUGAAGAUUGCCUUGCGACGAGCCGGCAUGGACGACCCCAUUUCGAUGAAGUUCCACUUCAUGAUGGGAUUGAACAAUGACAUCUCCAAGACUAUCUUCCUCAAGAACUACAAGUCCAUCGACGACUACUACAUUGGUGCUCUCAAGGCGGAACAAGAACUCAUGAAGGCCAAGGCUUCUCCACCCCGAGCAAACUUCGCGGCGACCAAGCUCAACGACAAGCAUGAGGCUAGUACCACCAAGAUGUCCAAGCCUGGUGAGCUCCAAGACGAUGCUUCCAAGUUUGACUUGACCACCAUCCCUCUUUGUGGCAUUGAUGAUGCCCAGUCCUCCAUGACUCUUUUUCAAGAUGGUGCAGCGACGAGUUCGACUACAGAGACCUUCAAGAACCAAGCUUUAGAGGCAAGCGACAAGGUGGCGAGCAAGGAUGAAGCUUCCAUCUUAGGAGGCGAGAGCGAUGAUGUGCCAUCUUAGGCCUUCAUCCACGAUGAUAGUGGUGAUGUGCCAUCUUCGGCCUUCAUCCAUGGCUACGCCUACGAGACGGUUGAGCAUGGGAUUUUCCCUUCGACCACGGCGACGUCCGAUGACUUGAGUGACUUUUGCCACCAUAUUGAGAUUGAGAGUGACUUCACCACUAGCCCCAUAUCUCAUGAGUUGUCCCAAUUCCCAUGUGAGCAGAGCCACAACCCCCACCACUUGAGUGAUUUGAGUGACUCCACCAUAUGCGACAUUGAGUGCACCUACCUUGAGGGAGUGAGUGAGCCACCACCACAUAGAGAGAGUAAGAUAGUUGAUAGGUCUAGUGAGGCCAUUUGCAUUUCUAACAACUUGACCUCUACCUCUCUUGUGCCUUCUCAUUUGGUGCUAGGUUACAUAUAUGAUGACGCGCCGAUCCUCGACGACUUCGUCCUCCCUUUGGACAAGAUGAUGGCCAUGGUGGAAUAUGAUGCACCCCCCAUAUGGUUCCAUCAAGAUGAUGAUAUUGACCACCAUUUGGUCUUUCCCACCUCACCUACACCUCUUGAGUGGAAUGAACAAGGUAACAUGGGUGAAGGUGAUGCUCUCGUCCCACUAGUGGACUAUUUUGACAUUGAUUGCUUGCAUGAUGUUGAUCACCCUAUUGACAUGCUUCAUUCUAGUAUGAUUUCCCCAUGCGAUGAUUUACCCAUUUAUGAUGAAUAUGAUGAUUCUCAUGUGGAGUCUAUUAGUCGUGAUGCCAUGUUACAUAGGAUUUCUUGUGACAAUUCUUUAGGUCACAUCAUGUUUGAUAAUUCGCUUGACUUGUCAUAUGCUAUGCAUGAGAUCAACCAUAUGUCUUAUUUGCAAUCUCUCCAUAGUGACUAUGCAUAUGCCAUUAAAAUAAACCCAAUUUGCACAUAUGGCAUAGAUGACAAGCCCAUGGUUAUUGGCAUUUGUUUCUCUUGUGAUGAUAUUGAUAUGCUCCCUUUGCAUCAUUUAUCUCAUAUACCAUGCCAUGCACACCUAGCCUCGGAUAUGCAUUGUUUUGGAUGUUGUCCAUUUUCUCCAUAUGAUGUUUCCAAUAUUGCUCAUGAGGAGACGCCCAUAGUUUCCUCAUACAUGUUAGGAGAUUUUGAUCCAUCCCAUCCAUUGCAUGACCCCAAUAAUUAUGUGCACCAUAUGCUCCCCAUGAAUAAACAUGUUAUUGAUGUGCCAUAUACUUGCAUUCUCAAUUUAUGUCCCCAUCGUGUCAUACACAAUAACUAUUCUUUCAUGAUGGAUGACAUGUUCUUAUACCAUGCCUCAAAUUUCUUUGAGCAUUGCUUAUCUUGUGCUAACUCACACGUGCACAUACACAUCAUGAUGGAUGAUGUGUACAUUUACUACGCGCACAAUUUCUUUGGAUUGUGUCUCUUUUGUGUAGGUACCCAUGAACACUUGUCAACAUCGCAAGCCCACGAGUUGACAAAACGAGCUCUUGAGAGCAAUGACGAUUUGGGAUCCCAUGGACUAUCCUUACCACCGUCCCCUUCGCGCAAGGACUACGCGCACCUCCUCUACUUGGAUCUCACACGGCUAUGGGCCAUUUAUAACUUGUCACAUUAUGCUCAUUUUACCGUGUUCACUUUGCAUGCUAUGCUUGCUCCUAUGCCUUUGCCAUGCAAUUGUGACCCUUGCUUGCAUAUACCCAUGUUUCAUCAUUAUGCUACUACUAUGAGUAUUUGCGUGCUUGGUGGAGAUCCUUGUUGCUAUUGCCAUGUUUAUCAUGUGCCCCAUGCUAUUGAUGAUUGUUGUGUUGGGAGAGUCAUAAUGCCUCAUUGCUAUUUACAUAUGGCCUCUCGCCAAUACAUUCAUGCCAUUCUACUCCUAUCUUGCUUUCAUGCUUGCGCUAUAACAUGUGGAUUAUUCAUGCCCACUAUUUGACCAAUGACAUGUUUGCCAUGAUUCCUUCUAGUAUGUUGCAUCUUUGCACUACUAGCAUGCUUGACUUGAUCGCUAUGAUAGCUCGCUAUGUUGCAUCACCCAUGUUCCACUAUUACUUGCUUUCUUGGGCUGAUAGCACCUAUGCUCAUGCCUCUCACAUGAUUUAUAUCGAUCAUUGUCUAUUGUCUCCAUUACUUGCAUCUCUCAUAUCACCCUGUAUUGAGUGCCAACUUGCUAUGCUUAUUGAUCUUGGAGACUUGGACACUUUACUUGUGAAGCAUGCUUGUUUGAUUGAGCCUAUUGUAUUUGGUUGUUCUCGCAUCAUAUGCUUACAUACUUUGAAAUGCUCCCUUGUCCUUUCUUAUGAUGCGCAUGAUGCAUACACUUGUUGGGUAUCUCGCCCCUCGAAUGAUAGGUCUUGCUUUUGCACUAACCUCAUUUGUUUUUCCAAGUGUUUCUCAUGUUCUUUUAUUUUGAAGGAUUCACAAGGCAGUACCAUCAAGAGACAUUUUAGUUAUGGUAAGGCGUACAUGAUGUGCAACACCAACAUUGGCGAGCAUCUGCUAAAGGUGAACUCAUUCUCUUUGAGCCAUCCUCACAUAUGCAUAUUGGAUGGCCAUACUUUCAUUGUUGUUUCCUUCUUCUUGUCUACAUGCUACAUAUAUUGGAUGGAGGACCGACAUUGGAGAUGGACCCUUUGGACCUUCACAUAGAGGAGUGCCACGACAUCAACCUAUGCUACAUCCAUGCCUACUGUGUACAUGGUGAUACGGUUUACGAUCCGAGGUCGGAUCUUUCCAAAGGGGGAGGAGAUGAUACGGAGCAUCCCACGUUCAUCUCCAUGUACACCUUCAUAGCACAUCAAGCCCCAAGUGGACCUACCGGAGUUAAGGUGAACCCGCUCUUCUUCGAGAAUAUCAUGAAUAUCCAUUGGACUUGCUUGCUACCUCACCAAAGAGCUCUAUGUGUCCUUAGGUACGAAGACCGACAACCACAAGCUGGUGAGGAACACCCCAAAGGAGUAGGAGAACGACCCCAAGGCCACAAGAAGGAAGAAGGAGGGCAUCGAGACCAACUCUGCACCUCCCAGGCGACCCCGUGCCCACGGGCCUCGAAGACCCCGUGCGCACGGGCUACUCAGAGAGUUUGCGCUGGAGCACCCCGUGCGCACGGGCCUGUACCGUGCCCACGGGACCCCCGUGCGCACGGGCCCAAUUUACCCCGUGCGCACGGGCCCUACAGGAUGGAUGGCUGUGAUUGCUAUUUGGGCCUCCUCUUCCUCCACUUCGCCCCCAUGACUAUAUAUUCCGUACCUAGACCAUUUGUUAGGGUAAGCAAAGUAGUUGAUACACAUUUGUGAGCUUUGCUCUAUGGAUCCACUCCACUAGGAGAUCAAGACCUCCUAUUGGAGUGACCAAACAUCAAGACCUCCUCCUAGGGGAAGGAUCCCAAUCAUAGGAUCAUCAAGCCCUCAUCUCCUUCAUAGGAUGUGGGAUGAACUCUACCAUGUAUCUUAUUUCCCUUUGAUUGUUCAUGUACCUUGUGGAUCUUGUGUGUUUGUUGGUCUAGUGGAUGUGUGAUUGGACUUGUUCUUGAGUGUUCCUCUUGUUUUCCCUCUUGUGUUCAUCUUGCUCUUGGGGAUUCCCCCUCCAAUUCAUGAAAUAUCUCCCCAUAGGGUUCCACCCUACAUCAAAGUGGUAUCAGAUUUCCAGGUUGCUCGGUGAGAUUUUACAGUUUUUCAUAGUUUAGAUCGAGUCUGUUCUUCAUACCUAUAGUCCACGAAAAAGCCAAAAAAAUUAGGGUUAGUUCAUCCCAUCCGAACCAAUCUGAGCCUUUGCAUAAUCUUUUUUGUAUUUGCUUUGUUGAAUUUGUGGUUGCAUCAUCGUGUCAAGUUGCUGGUCUUAGCGUCUAGUCCUUUAGAGUUUCGAGUUCUGUUCAUAGGUUGUCACGUCGCCGCUACCAUAUAUCCCCACCGCAUCAUCAUCACCGCUGCCAUAUACCACCACCACAUAUUCACCGCCAAUCCUAGUCCAUAUACGCCACCACAUAUCUGCCGCCAUCACGCCAAUCCGAGUCCACCUGCAACAUAUAUCCGCCACCACUCCGAGUUCCACCAGAUUCAUCUCCGCCACCAGUCCGAGAUUCCACCAGAUUCUUCUCCGCCACCAGUCCUAGUCCGAGUCCAGUAAUUGUUGCUUUGUUUUGGAUUUCCAGAUCACGCCAUACUCCAAGUCGUGACAGAGAAGGACUCCCCAACUUCCGUGUUACCCGCAGUAGAAAAAUAGUUCCAAACUCAAAAAAAACUAAGUCUGGAAAAUUCUGGCUAGGCAGUUUUUAGACCAUUUGUAGACUUUUUCGAAAAAAAAAUUGUUGCCGAGCAAAAAAAAAGAGGAAAAAAAAGAAAAAAAAGAGAAUUUUUUUUCAGAGUGUGCUUCUCCCUUGUUUACAUGCAGCGUCGUGAUUUUGUUAGUGUUCUAGGCUCGCGUCUCUAGCACGGUCUAGCCUAGGACCAGCACAGUACCGUCGUUGAGCGUUUAUUCAACUUUGCAUCUCUGAAUUGAUUAUUGCUGACCCUUUUUGCUACCAUAUUAUAAGCCUUCCCAGAUCCACAUACAUCUACAUCGUGCGUUUGACUCUCCCUGGCAAUCGCUCUAUCCAAGCUUUUGAGAGUUUUGACUACAAUGGUUGCCGAUCACCGCCUGCUGCUGGGUAAGAACUGGUAAGAAUUUGAGAUUUGCUUGACGGAUUUGUGACACCCACCACCACCUCUUGUUAGUAGUUUGUACGAUCAUAUGCUUGUGUGUUUCUAUUGAUGCUAACCAUGCCAGGAUCACAAGCCGACAAGACUGACUGGGAGAACAUGACGAAUAAAGAGUUGCAUGAUAAAUUUCAGCAAAUGAUGAGUGGACAGGUGCAAGAUGUGCUAAACAGAUUUGAACAGGCCAUGGAGAAGAUAGAUGGCAUGGAGAAGACGUUCAAAACAAAGCUCGAUAACAAGUUUAAUGAAUUGCUCGCGCGUCUUCCACCACCACUACCGGCUGCACCUAACGCACCUCUACAACCACAACAACAACGACGACUACCUCCACGUCGCGAAACAGCCCUCCGCCGAGCGAGCCGUGUCCCUCUUGCGCUUGGCCAAACUGUUGGUGCUGCUGUCGAUACUUCUGUGGCUCCUGCUGCUGACGCGGAGGAGGAUGAUUAUCUGGGAGAUUACGAGGAUGAAGUUGAUCAAAAUCAGAACUACAUGCAACCACCAGCACCACAACCACCAGGUCGUCCACAUGCAAAUAAUGGCAAUUUUAGGGCUCCCCUUCAGGUACGAGAUCAUGACCAUCUCCCUAUACUGAAAUUGAAUAUUCCAUCAUCUGAGGGUAGAUAUGUUCCUGAUAUAUAUCUUACUUGGGAGUUAGAAAGUGAACAACGAUUUACAUGUUUACAAUAUCCUGAGGAGAGACGUGUUCCUGCUGCUGUUUGUGCUUUCACUAGCUUUGCAUGUGUGUUGGUGGUCUCAACAUUGUCGAUUAUAUCCUGUUCCAGCUACUUGGGCUGCUUUGAAAACUGUUAUGCGUACUUGUUGGGUUCCAACAUAUUAUCAACAUGAAUUACUUCAAAAAUUGCAGCGCUUAAGACAAGGAAAAAAUUUGGUAGAAGAAUAUUAUCAGGAAUUACAAACUGGCUUGAUUAGAUGUGGUAUUGUUAAGGAGAAUGAAGAUAUGCUUGCACGUUUUCUGGGUGGAUUAAAUAGAGGGAUUCAGACCAUUCUAGACUAUAAGGAUUAUAAUAAUAUCACUCGUUUAUUCCAUCUUGCUUGUAAAGCUGAACGUGAAGUGCAGGAUCAAUAGGCAUUGGUGCACACUAACUUUUCUGCAGGUCGACCUUCAUCAUGGACACCACGUGCAUCAUCUACUUCCACUGCACCAUCACCUCCUUUAGGUGCCACCUCCAACCGUGAUACAAUAAAACAGGCACAACCACCACUAUCUGCCAAGAGCACACCUGCCGGGCCUGCACAGAGCUCUUCUUCUUCCAUGGCGUCAACAGGGCACACAAGUGAUAUUAUUUGUCGUCGUUGUAAGGGAAGAGGACAUUUUGCGAGAGAAUGCAAAUCUCAGCGUGUGAUGAUUGCUACUGAGGAUGGUGGGUAUGAGUCUGCUAGUGACUAUGAUGAGGAGACUUUGGCUCUUAUUACAAAUGAGGAACACGGUGGAGAUGAUUCUGAUCAUGAGACACAAUACAAGGCUGCUGAAGAUGCUUACAGGUAUGAAUGUUUAGUUGCUCAACGUGUUUUGAGUGUGCAGGUUACACAAUCUCUGCAAAAUCAGAGGCAUAAUUUGUUCCAUACAAAGGGAGUUGUGAAGGAACGUUCUAUUCGCGUCAUCAUAGAUGGAGGGAGCUGCAACAACUUGGCUAGCAUGGAGAUGGUGGAGAAGCUAUCUCUCACCACAAGACCACAUCCACAUCCUUACUACAUCCAAUGGUUCAACAACAGCGGCAAGGUUAAGGUAACACGUACUAUUCGUGUGCAUUUUAGUAUCUCUACAUAUGCUGAUUAUGUUGAUUGUGAUGUGGUACCUAUGCAAGCAUGUUCCUUAUUACUUGGUAGACCAUGGCAAUUUGAUAAAAAUUCUAUACACCAUGGUAGAAACAAUCAGUAUACUCUUGUUCAUAAGGAUAAAAAUAUUACUUUGCUUCCUAUGACUCCUGAUUCCAUUUUGAAAGAUGAUAUUAAUAGAGCUAAUAAAGCAAAACAGCAAAAAAAUAAGACUGAAAAUCAGAUUGUGGUAAAAGAAUUUGAGCAACAAAUAAAGCCUAAUAAUAAACCAUCUACUGUUGCUUCUGAAAUUAAAUUGAAAAGUGCAUGUUUACUUGCCACCAAAUCUGAUAUUGAUGAGCUAGAUUUUAGCAAAUCUGGUUGCUAUGCUUUUGUGUGCAACGAGGCAUUAUUUUCAUUCGAGGAUGUGCCUUCCUCUUUUCCCCCCUUCUGUCACUAACAUUUUGCAGGAGUUCGCUGACGUCUUUCCACAAGACGUGCCACCGGGAUUACCAUCAAAUUCGUAUGAAAUUGGGAGAUGAAUGGAAAAUAGCAUUAAAACUAAGUUUGGUUUAUAUGAGUGGUUAGUCAUGCCUUUUGGGUUAACUAAUGCGCCUAGUACUUUCAUGAGACUAAUGAACGAAGUUUUACGUGCUUUCAUUGGACGAUUUGUGGUAGUCUAUUUUGAUGAUAUACUGAUUUAUAGCAAAUCUUUGGAAGAACAUUUGGAACAUUUACGUGCUGUUUUUUUUUGCUCUACGUGAUGCAUGUUUGUUUGGUAACCUUGGGAAGUGCACCUUUUGCACCGACCGAGUAUCUUUUCUUGGCUAUGUUGUUACUCCACAGGGAAUUGAAGUUGAUAAAGCCAAGAUUGAAGCUAUUGAGAGUUGGCCGCAGCCCAAAACGGUCACACAAGUGAGGAGUUUCGUUGGCCUCGCUGGUUUCUAUCAGCGUUUUGUGAGAGAUUUCAGCACCAUUGCUGCACCUCUCAACGAGCUUACAAAGAAGGAUGUGCCUUUUGUUUGGGGUACCGCACAGGAAGAAGCCUUCACGGUAUUGAAAGAUAAGUUGACACAUGCUCCUUUACUCCAACUUCCUGAUUUUAAUAAGACUUUUGAGCUUGAAUGUGAUGCUAGUGGAAUUGGAUUAGGAGGUGUGUUAUUACAAGAUGGCAAACAUGUUGCAUACUUUUCUGAAAAAUUGAGUGGGCCUAGUCUGAACUAUUCUACUUAUGAUAAAGAAUUAUAUGCUCUUGUUCGGACUUUAGAGACAUGGCAACAUUAUUUAUGGCCCAAAGAAUUUGUUAUACAUUCUGAUCAUGAAUCUUUGAAACAUAUUAAAAGUCAAGCUAAACCGAAUCGUAGACAUGCUAAAUGGGUGGAAUUCAUUGAGACUUUCCCUUAUGUCAUUGAACACAAGAAGGGUAAAGAAAAUGUUAUUGCUGAUGCUUUGUCUCGUCGCUAUACUAUGCUUUCACAACAUGCCUUCAAAAUAUUUGGUUUGGAGACCAUAAAAGAUCAAUAUGUGCAUGAUGCUGAUUUUAAAGAUGUAAUGCAGAAUUGUAAAGAAGGAAGGACAUGGAACAAGUUCGUUAUUAAUGAUGGCUUUGUGUUCCGUGCUAACAAGCUACGCAUUCCUGCUAGCUCUAUUCGUCUUUUGUUGUUGCAGGAGGCGCAUGGAGGAGGAUUAAUGGGACACUUUGGCGUGAAGAAGACAGAGGAUAUACUUGCUACACAUUUCUUUUGGCCAAAAAUAAGACGGGAUGUUGAGCGUUUUGUUGCUCGCUGCACUACAUGUCAAAAAGCUAAGUCACGACUCAAUCCUCAUGGUUUAUAUAUGCCUUUGCCUGUACCUACUGUUCCUUGGGAGGAUAUAUCUAUGGACUUUGUUUUAGGUUUACCUCGAACAAAGAAGGGGAGGGAUAGCAUAUUUGUUGUCGUGGAUAGAUUUUCGAAAAUGGCACACUUUAUACCAUGUCAUAAAAGCGAUGAUGCUGUUAAUGUUGCUGAUUUGUUCUUUCGGGAAAUUAUUUGCUUGCAUGGUGUGCCAAAUACUAUUGUUUCAGAUCGUGAUACUAAAUUCCUUAGCCACUUUUGGAGAUGUUUAUGGGCUAAGUUGGAGACUAAACUACUUUUUAGUACUACUUGUCACCCCCAAACUGAUGGACAAACUGAAGUAGUCAAUAGAACAUUGUCUACUAUGCUUAGGGCUGUUCUGAAGAAUAAUAAGAAAAUGUGGUAAGAAUGCUUGCCUCAUAUUGAAUUUGCUUAUAAUCGUUCAUUGCAUUCUACUACUAAGAUGUGCCCUUUUGAAAUUGUGUAUGGUUUCCUACCUCGUGCACCUAUUGAUUUGUUGCCUCUUCCAUGUUCGGAGAAGGUUAAUUUUGAUGCUAAACAACGCGCUGAAUUGAUCUUAAAAAUGCAUGAGUUAACUAAGGACAACAUUGAGCAUAUGAAUGCUAAAUAUAAACUUGCUGGAGAUGAGGGUAGAAAACAUGUUGUCUUUGCACCUGGAGAUCUUGUUUGGUUACAUUUGCGUAAGGAUAGGUUUCCUAAUUUGCACAAAUCAAAGCUAAUGCCACGUGCUGAUGGUCCUUUUAAGGUGUUAGAGAAAAUAAAUCACAAUGCAUAUAAACUUGAGCUGCCUGCAGAUUUUGGGGUUAGUCCCACUUUCAACAUUGCAGAUUUGAAGCCUUAUUUGGGUGAGGAAGAUGAGCUUCCGUCGAGGACGACUUCAUUUCAAGAAGGGGAGGGUGAUGAGGACAUCAGUACCAUUGUUACACCCACAGCCCCUACUACAACAUAUACUGGACCAAUUACUAGAGCUCGCGCAUGCCAAUUAAAUUAUCAGGUACUUUCGUUUCUUGGUAAUGAUUCUAAUAUUCAUGAGAAUAUGAUGCUGCCUAAAUUGGAUACAUUUGUUUUGCUUACAAAUGAAGGGCCUGGCAUGGAUAAGAGGGAUGAACAUUGGAGCAAGAACAAGCAUGGAGUUGAUGGCAUGCACAAGGGGAACAAGAACGGAGUUACAAGUGAUGAUUUCAGGACUUUGAAGCCACCAUAAUGAGUACAUGAAGCCUUGGACGAAAUAUACAAGAUGCCACUUCAUAAACUUCGUCUAGAGGCUAUUCUAGGUGCUGCGUCACCUUAUUAUUGGGCCAGGCCCAUGUAAUUUUGAAAUACAUAAGUAUAGGCUGUUUUUAGAGUUCGAAUGUGUGGGGAAACAAGAGAUGGGGUUGGUUUCGGACCCCUUCCCCAAGGGCCACGAAAUUCCCCCUCUUUCUCCAUAUAUAUAGCCCUUAGGGCACCGUUUAGACUUUGGGUUUUGCUUAGAUUAAAAGUUCACCAUAGCUGCAACUUCGCGCACUUCGUUUGUGUUCAACGACUAGACCAAGGCGUCACAGAACCCCACCUUGAUCAAUAAAGCUUUCCUCUUAUAUUCGCAAUAUCCAGAUUGCAAUCUUAGUUUCUUGCUUGUUCUUCGUUUGCCUGCAGGAAACAGACCUUCGUGGUCAGGUUGAUCGUUUUCCGGCGUGGUCAAUAACCUCUCGGAGUUGGUUUAGCGAUUGCUAAGGCGCGACGUCCUCGCACGUUCGUAGUCGGAUCGUCAAAGUCGACUUCAUCCUAAACUAUAGCCACCAUCUCAUCGAAAGACGGGACACCUUUGCCUCUAUUUACGGCGAUGAAGCAUGUCAUGAGAGCUCGUUUCGUGCCUACACACUACAAUCGUGAUCUCUUCAAGAAGUUGCAACUUCUCAAACAAGGCACGAAGACGGUGGAAGAAUACUACCAAGAAAUGGAGAUUGCCAUGAUUCGAGCCAAUGUCAAAGAAGACGACGAGCAAACAAUGGCACGCUUAUUGAAUGACCUCAACCAUCCAAUCAAGCGGAUUACAGACUUCCAACCAUACUCAAACCUCCUCGAGCUAGUUCAUCAAGCGACCAAGGCCGAGCGACAAGUCCAAGAUGACUUCAAAUAAGCCAAGUACUCGUCCAAGACCUACGGCUCCUCUUAUCAAGCUCCCGCGACUCCGGCAACUCCUACAUCAUCUAGAGCCUCACCAAGUACCGGCGACAAGUCAAGUUACAAGAAA